AUGACCGGAGGCGUCCCCGACACGUUCUCGUCCUCCCCCAUCCAUGCCUGCCCCAACACGUUCUCGUCCUCCCCCAUCCAUGCCUGCCCAGACACGUUCUCGUCCUCCCCCAUGCCUGCCCUGACACGUUCUCAGCUCUGCUCCCAUUCUGUGCCUGGCUCUGUCCUCACGGGUCUCUCACAGGGUAGAAAAUUCAAUUUUAUGAAGUCCAUUUUAGCAGCUUCUCUCUUUUGCGAAAUAAAUUUUGGAAUUAGGUUCAUGACUACCCAGGACCACAUAGAUUCUGCGUGUUCUAGAAUUGUGUAUUUCGCCUUUGGAAUCUCCGCGUGUGGACUCGGGUUAGUUUCUGCGUCCCCCGCACAGCGAUGUCCUCUGGUCCCUGCAUUCUGGAUGCCCCGUGUGUCAGUUUUAGGAAGAGACGCGGGUGGUGCCCCGGGUCGGGCUGGGUCUCCAGCUUCGCGGCCCGGCCCGGGGAGUUCUGAGGACACGCGAGGGCCGUGCCAAGCGGCCACGCCGCCUCAGGCGUCAGCGAGGGAGGUGCGGGCAGCACCCCGAGCCCAAGGCCGCGUCCUGGUCCCUGUCGCCGGCCGGACGUGGCACCCCUGCUACGCGGCAGAGGGCCGGCGUGGGGGGCCGCCCCCGAUCUGGCGACGCGGGUCCCAAGGAGCCCCUCACAAACCCUCCGUGGUGGCCGCGUUUCCGAGCCGGGCCGUGCGUUCCUUCUGGUCCGCGCACCGUGUCCGCUCCAGCCUGCGCCGCGGACAGCCCCGCGUCCCGACUCCACGCCGGCGGGAAGAGGGGUGUGGGCGGCGGCGCGUCGGAGCGUGCGCCCCCGACCCCGGCAACUGUCCACGCAGCCGCGGGGACAGCUCAGGGCUGGAGCCGGGCUGGGCCGAGCGGCGCCUCUGCCGCGGGAUGAGGGAGCCUGGCGGGGUUGGGUGGUGUCCCCUGGGGGUGGGCCGGGGGACCUGCGGGGCGCGGGGCCCUAAUCGCCGCUGCGUGGCUUUGGCCGGCGCGUUAGGCUGCCCACGAGGCCUUCUGGGAGAUGGAGUCCUCUAA
rnacentral:lncRNA from 1 species